rnacentral:rRNA from 1 species
GACGAACGCUGGCGGCGUGCUUAACACAUGCAAGUCGAACGGAAAGGCCCUGCUUUUGUGGGGUGCUCGAGUGGCGAACGGGUGAGUAACACGUGAGUAACCUGCCCUUGACUUUGGGAUAACUUCAGGAAACUGGGGCUAAUACCGGAUAGGAGCUCCUGCUGCAUGGUGGGGGUUGGAAAGUUUCGGCGGUUGGGGAUGGACUCGCGGCUUAUCAGCUUGUUGGUGGGGUAGUGGCUUACCAAGGCUUUGACGGGUAGCCGGCCUGAGAGGGUGACCGGCCACAUUGGGACUGAGGUACGGCCCAGGCUCCAACGGGAGGCAACAGGGGGGAAUAUUGCACAAUGGGGGGGAGCCUGAUGCAGCAACGCCGCGUUCGGGAUGACGGCCUUCGGGUUUUAAACCGCUUUCGCCUGUGACGAAGCGUGAGUGACGGUAAUGGGUAAAGAAGCACCGGCUAACUACGUG